GAUGAACGCUGGCGGCGUGCCUAACACAUGCAAGUCGAGCGAAGCGCUUAAAUUAGCUUUCUUCGGAAUGACGAUUUUUGUGACUGAGCGGCGGACGGGGGAGUAACGCGUGGGUAACCUGCCUCAUACAGGGGGAUAACAGUUAGAAAUGACUGCUAAUACCGCAUAAGACCCCAGCUUCGCAUGAAGCGGUGGUAAAAACUCCGGUGGUAUGAGAUGGACCCGCGUCUGAUUAGCUAGUUGGUAAGGUAACGGCUUACCAAGGCGACGAUCAGUAGCCGACCUGAGAGGGUGACCGGCCACAUUGGGACUGAGACACGGCCCAGACUCCUACGGGAGGCAGCAGUGGGGAAUAUUGCACAAUGGGGGAAACCCUGAUGCAGCGACGCCGCGUGAAGGAUGAAGUAUUUCGGUAUGUAAACUUCUAUCAGCAGGGAAGAAAGUGACGGUACCUGACUAAGAAGCCCCGGCUAACUACGUG
rnacentral:rRNA from 1 species